UCUCUUUAGUAUAUAAUCGAUUAUCUAGUAUCAAUAAUCGAUUAUGUUGAUAUUAUUUGCAUUAUUAUGUAUUUUACUUUUUCCAUUUUUGCUAAUGUCAAAAGGGGGAAGAAUAAGAGAUAUGCACCUAAUUUUUAUUGGCAUAAAGUGAGGGGGAAUUCAUAUAUUGAGGGGGAACCAAUUGCAUAUCUAUAUACUUGUUGCAUAUCUA
rnacentral:lncRNA from 1 species